rnacentral:tRNA from 1 species
GCCGGAAUCGUCUAGUGGCAAUGACAAGAGACUGUAAAUCUCUCGGCGCAAGCCUUCGUAGGUUCGAGUCCUACUUCCGGCACCA